rnacentral:rRNA from 1 species
GGGUCAGUAGGUUGGUCGUGCCACCGGUACGUACUGGUCUCGCUGAUUCCUCCUUCCUGAAGAACCGUAAUGCCAUUAAUUUGGUGUUGCGGGGAAACAGGACUGUUACUUUGAAAAAAUUAGAGUGUUUAAAGCAAGCUAACGCCUGAAUACAUUAGCAUGGAAUAAUGAAAUAGGACGAUCGAUCCUAUUUUGUUGGUUUCUAGGAUUGACGUA